rnacentral:rRNA from 2 species
GGCGCAAGCCUGAUGGAGCAACACCGCGUGAGUGAAGAAGGGUUUCGGCUCGUAAAGCUCUGUUGUUAAAGAAGAACACGUAUGAGAGUAACUGUUCAUACGUUGACGGUAUUUAACCAGAAAGUCACGGCUAACUACGUGCCAGCAGCCGCGGUAAUACGUAGGUGGCAAGCGUUAUCCGGAUUUAUUGGGCGUAAAGAGAGUGCAGGCGGUUUUCUAAGUCUGAUGUGAAAGCCUUCGGCUUAACCGGAGAAGUGCAUCGGAAACUGGAUAACUUGAGUGCAGAAGAGGGUAGUGGAACUCCAUGUGUAGCGGUGGAAUGCGUAGAUAUAUGGAAGAACACCAGUGGCGAAGGCGGCUACCUGGUCUGCAACUGACGCUGAGACUCGAAAGCAUGGGUAGCGAACAGGAUUAGAUACCCUGGUAGUCCAUGCCGUAAACGAUGAGUGCUAGGUGUUGGAGGGUUUCCGCCCUUCAGUGCCGGAGCUAACGCAUUAAGCACUCCGCCUGGGGAGUACGACCGCAAGGUUGAAACUCAAAGGAAUUGACGGGGGCCCGCACAAGCGGUGGAGCAUGUGGUUUAAUUCGAAGCUACGCGAAGAACCUUACCAGGUCUUGACAUCUUGCGCCAACCCUAGAGAUAGGGCGUUUCCUUCGGGAACGCAAUGACAGGUGGUGCAUGGUCGUCGUCAGCUCGUGUCGUGAGAUGUUGGGGUUAAGUCC